UACGUAGGAUGCUAGCGUUGUCCGGAUUUACUGGGUGUAAAGGGAGCGCAGGCGGGUCGGUAAGUCAGUGGUGAAAUUCUCAGGCUUAACCUGAGGACUGCCACCGAAACUACCGAUCUUGAGUGCAGAAGAGGUUGAUGGAAUUCUUGGUGUAGCGGUGAAAUGCGUAGAUAUCAAGAAGAACACCGAUGGCGAAGGCAGUCAACUGGUCUGCUACUGACGCUCAUGCUCGAAAGCGUGGGGAUCAAAC
rnacentral:rRNA from 1 species